UACGGGGGGGGCAAGCGUUGUUCGGAAUUACUGGGCGUAAAGGGCUCGUAGGUGGCCAACUAAGUCGGACGUGAAAUCCCUCGGCUUAACCGGGGAGCUGCGUCCGAUACUGGAUGGCUUGAGUUUGGGAGAGGGAUGCGGAAUUCCAGGUGUAGCGGUGAAAUGCGUAGAUAUCUGGAGGAACACCGGUGGCGAAGGCGGCAUCCUGGACCAACACUGACACUGAGGAGCGAAAGCCAGGGGAGCAAACGGG
rnacentral:rRNA from 1 species